rnacentral:rRNA from 1 species
AGGAUGAACGCUAGCGGCAGGCCUAAUACAUGCAAGUCGAACGCGAUUGGGGAGCUUGCUCCCCAUGAGAGUGGCGUACGGGUGCGUAACGCGUGAGCAACCUACCAUUGUCUGGGGGAUAGCCCGAAGAAAUUCGGAUUAAUACCGCAUAACAUCAUUGAACAGCAUUGUUAAUGAUCAAACAUUUAUGGGACAACGAUGGGCUCGCGUGACAUUAGCUAGUUGGAGUGGUAGCGGCACACCAAGGCUACGAUGUCUAGGGGAUCUGAGAGGAUGACCCGCCACACUGGGACUGAGACACGGCCCAGACUCCGUACGGGAGGCAGCAGGUGGGGAAUAGUUGCACAAUGGCGAAAGCCUGAUGCAGCGACGCCGCGUGAGGAUGACGGCCGUUUCGGUUACGUUAAACCGUCGUUUCGGACGUAGGGACGAA